UUAUUAUGAACAACUGGUUUUCCAAGGUCUGUAUCCUCCUGUGCUUGCUGACGUCUGUGCUUUCCCAGCAGCACACUAAAUGGUGUCAUAGGAAGACUUUCUUCUACUGCCAGCUUGAAAAAGUACUACUUCUCCACAGAAAUACAUACUGGAAUGCAAUUCUGGAACUCGUUCUCACAGCACUUCUUGUCAAAAAAAAAACCAAUCCAGAUUACUGCCCCUUCAGCUAAGUGCCUGGGACUCCGAGUAAGGAUCUGACAGCAUACAAUGGAGCAUUGCUGGGAAAGUCUGCCAGGAAAACAUGGAUUUUUGAACAGAGGUUACAGAGGAUCAAGAUAUGUAUUUCACAGUACAUAGUAAGGUCAUCAUGCCUUUAUGGGUUUAUUCAUAUAAUUUCCAUUUGCAUGCAUGCAUACACCAAUAAUGAACCAACUGUUUGCAUUUACACUUUUCCAGGACUUUGAUUCAGCCCUGGAUUAAUGGGGGAAAAGAGAAGUGCUAUCAAAACACGACUUGUGUGCUCCAUGAUACAGAUUUAAGGAUGAGAGGUACAAGAGACAUAAGCAAGUAAGAAUAAACUGCAAUGCUCAAUCUUAUUUUAAACCAACAUUUAAAAUAAAUGAAAGCCAUUUUAGUCUUUUCUAUAUAUGAA